CCCUUAGACGUUCUGGGCCGCACGCGCGCUACACUGACGAAGGCACCGAGCUUUCCUUUACCGAAAGGUACGGGUAAUCUUUUGAAACUUCGUCGUGCUGGGGAUAGAUCCUUGCAAUUUUUGAUCUUAAACGAGGAAUGCCUAGUAAGCGCAAGUCAUCAACUUGCGUUGAUUACGUCCCUGCCCUUUGUACACACCGCCCGUCGCUACUACCGAUUGAAUGGUUUAGUGAGGCCUUCGGAUCCGCGACUCGUUUGUGGAGAAGUUGGACAAACUCAGUCAUUUAGAGGAAGUAAAAGUCGUAACA
rnacentral:rRNA from 1 species